CCAGACUCCUACGGGAGGCAGCAGUGGGGGAUAUUGCACAAUGGGGGAAACCCUGAUGCAGCGACGCCGCGUGGGUGAAGAAGUAUUUCGGUAUGUAAAGCCCUAUCAGCAGGGAAGAAAGAAGACGGUACCUGACUAAGAAGCCCCGGCUAACUACGUGCCAGCAGCCGCGGUAAUACGUAGGGGGCAAGCGUUAUCCGGAUUUACUGGGUGUAAAGGGAGCGUAGACGGCGAUGCAAGUCUGAAGUGAAAGGCGGGGGCCCAACCCCCGGACUGCUUUGGAAACUGUAUGGCUGGAGUGCAGGAGAGGUAAGUGGAAUUCCUAGUGUAGCGGUGAAAUGCGUAGAUAUUAGGAGGAACACCAGUGGCGAAGGCGAUUUGCUGGACUGUAACUGACACUGAGGCACGAAAGCGUGGGGAGCAAACAGGAUUAGAUACCCUAGUA
rnacentral:rRNA from 1 species